AGACUCUACAUGAAAAUCUGUCGUCACAGAUCAACGCUUUCAAUUGAGCUCAUAAACAAACAGCAGUGUAACACUGGAAUGAUUCUGGCUUAGGGUGACCUAUGGCUCCAAGACUGCCACAAAGCACAACCUCUCCAAAAUCCACCCCUGAUGAAGACAACGAUGAGGAAGAGGAUGGAGGAUUAAGAGAAAUCUGAGUGCCAUUCCUCAGCCUUACCCACGAUCCCCUUCUACUGACUCUACCCUGAUUUUACAGUCAGACGUCUCGCCAACAAUGAAAAACAAAUGUAGAAACAUCCCUGCAUGUUUGAUGAUGCAAUCCGGACAAUAAAAGGAAUUAAAAAUG